rnacentral:rRNA from 1 species
GAUGAACGCUAGCGGCAGGCCUAACACAUGCAAGUCGAGGGGUAGAACACUUCGGUGUUUGAGACCGGCGCACGGGUGCGUAACGCGUAUGCAAUCUACCUUGUACAGGGGAAUAGCCCAGAGAAAUUUGGAUUAAUGCCCCAUAGUAUAUAACCUACGCAUGUUGGUUAUAUUAAAGUUCCAACGGUACAAGAUGAGCAUGCGUCCCACUAGUUAGUUGGUAAGGUAACGGCUUACCAAGACGAUGAUGGGUAGGGGUCCUGAGAGGGAGAUCCCCCACACUGGUACUGAGACACGGACCAGACUCCUACGGGAGGCAGCAGUGAGGAAUAUUGGUCAAUGGGCGCAAGCCUGAACCAGCCAUGCUGCGUGCAGGAAGACGGUCCUAUGGAUUGUAAACUGCUUUUAUACAGGAAGAAACAACUCUACGUGUAGAGUCUUGACGGUACUGUAGGAAUAAGGAUCGGCUAACUCCGUGCCAGCAGCCGCCGUAAAAC